CGCAUGUCGCCCUUCGCCUGCUGAACUCAGAGCGCUCGAGGAUGUCGGCGCUGAGGAAGGUCUGUAUGAGCUGUUGGCUGUUGUGCCAGGCCGGCUGGGGCCACGUGUGGACAGCCAGGAAGACCUGACCUUCCUCUGGGAUAUGUUUGGUGAGAAAAGCCUGCAUUCACCGGUAAAGAAGUUACUCGUCGAGCACCAUUUUCCUUUAG